GACGAACGCUGGCGGCGUGCUUAACACAUGCAAGUCGAACGGAAAGGCCCUGCUUUUGUGGGGUGCUCGAGUGGCGAACGGGUGAGUAACACGUGAGUAACCUGCCCUUGACUUUGGGAUAACUUCAGGAAACUGGGGCUAAUACCGGAUAGGAGCUCCUGCUGCAUGGUGGGGGUUGGAAAGUUUCGGCGGUUGGGGAUGGACUCGCGGCUUAUCAGCUUGUUGGUGAGGUAGUGGCUUACCAAGGCUUUGACGGGUAGCCGGCCUGAGAGGGUGACCGGCCACAUUGGGACUGAGAUACGGCCCAGACUCCUACGGGAGGCAGCAGUGGGGAAGAUUGCACAAUGGGCGGAAGCCUGAUGCAGCAACGCCGCGUGCGGGAUGACGGCCUGCGGGUUGUAAACCGCUUUCGCCUGUGACGAAGCGUGAGUGACGGUAAUGGGUAAAGAAGCACCGGCUAACUACGUG
rnacentral:rRNA from 1 species